rnacentral:rRNA from 1 species
UACGUAGGGGGCAAGCGUUGUCCGGAAUCAUUGGGCGUAAAGAGCGUGUAGGCGGCCCGGUAAGUCCGCUGUGAAAGUCGAGGGCUCAACCCUCGAAAGCCGGUGGAUACUGUCGGGCUAGAGUGCGGAAGAGGCGAGUGGAAUUCCUGGUGUAGCGGUGAAAUGCGCAGAUAUCAGGAGGAACACCAAUUGCGAAGGCAGCUCGCUGGGACGUUACUGACGCUGAGACGCGAAAGCGUGGGGAGCAAACAGG